AGAGCGAACGCUGGCGGCAGGCUUAACACAUGCAAGUCGAACGGCCUUUCGGGGCAGUGGCGGACGGGUGAGUAACACGUGGGAACGUGCCCUUAGGUUCGGAACAACACAGGGAAACUUGUGCUAAUACCGGAUGUGCCCUUUUGGGGAAAGAUUUAUCGCCUUUGGAGCGGCCCGCGUCUGAUUAGCUAGUUGGUGAGGUAAGAGCUCACCAAGGCGACGAUCAGUAGCUGGU
rnacentral:rRNA from 1 species